GGAGAGAUGGCUCAGUGGUUAAGAGCACUGGCUGUUCUACCAGAGAACCUGGGUUCAAUUCCCAUCACCCA
rnacentral:tRNA from 1 species